rnacentral:rRNA from 1 species
GGUAGCUUACCAGAAAGGGACGGCUAACUACGUGCCAGCAGCCGCGGUAAUACGUAGGUCCCGAGCGUUGUCCGGAUUUAUUGGGCGUAAAGCGAGCGCAGGCGGUUUGAUAAGUCUGAAGUUAAAGGCUGUGGCUCAACCAUAGUUCGCUUUGGAAACUGUCAAACUUGAGUGCAGAAGGGGAGAGUGGAAUUCCAUGUGUAGCGGUGAAAUGCGUAGAUAUAUGGAGGAACACCGGUGGCGAAAGCGGCUCUCUGGUCUGUAACUGACGCUGAGGCUCGAAAGCGUGGGGAGCGAACAGGAUUAGAUACCCUGGUAGUCCACGCCGUAAACGAUGAGUGCUAGGUGUUGGAUCCUUUCCGGGAUUCAGUGCCGCAGCUAACGCAUUAAGCACUCCGCCUGGGGA